rnacentral:rRNA from 1 species
AACGUAGGAGCCUAGCGUUAUCCGAAUUCACUGGGCGUAAAGCGCGUGCAGGCGGUUCGGUAAGUUGGAUGUGAAAUCUCCUGGCUCAACUGGGAGAGGACGUUCAAGACUGUCGGACUAGAGGACGGUAGAGGAAGGUAGAAUUCCCGGUGUAGUGGUGAAAUGCGUAGAUAUCGGGAGGAAUACCAGUGGCGAAGGCGGCCUUCUGGGCCGUUCCUGACGCUCAGACGCGAAAGCUAGGGGAGCAAGCGGG